CCUACGGUAGGCAGCAGUGGGGAAUAUUGCACAAUGGGCGAAAUCCUGAAGCAGCAAAGCCGCGUGAGCGAAGAAGGCCUUAUGGUCGUAAAGCUCUGUCCUCAGGGAAAAUAAUGACGGUACGUGAGUAGGACGCCCCGGCUACCUACGUACCAGCAGCGGCGAUAAUACGUAGGGAGCUAGCGUUAGCCGGAAUUACUGGGCGUAAAGGGGGCGUAAGUGGGUUCUUAAGUCAGAGGUGAAAGGCUACGGCUCAACCCUAGAAAGCCUUUGAAACUGGGAAACUUGAGUGCAGGAGAGGAGAGUGGAAUUCGUAGUGUAGCGGUGAAAUGCGUAGAUAUUAGGAGGAACACCAGUUGCGAAGGCGGCUCUCUGGAGUGUAACUGACACUGAGGCACGAAAGCGUGGGGAUCAAACAGGAUUAGAUACCCUUGUAGUC
rnacentral:rRNA from 1 species